rnacentral:lncRNA from 1 species
CACUCGUCGAGCUUAGAUGAUGUACAUGUCAGCCUUGCAUCGGCAAAUUAUAGCUGCACUCUAGCUGAUUAGGGAUGCCGGUGCCAGAACCACCGCGACCUCCACAUGCACGCCCUCAAUUGAGAGUUCCUAAUAGUAACUCAGCUUCUCAUGAUGUUACUUCUACUUCGUAUGUCGGCAUGUACGAUUCUUUGUAGAUUUAACCAGGGUCUGAGUGUUUUGAUUCCAAUACCCAUUAUACGCAAGCAGUAAAUAACUUAUUGAAAAUUAGCUUUUCCUGAUAGGAAUUGGCAUAACCAGGUUAGCAUGCAGAGAGCAUAAUCUCAUUUGUUGAUUCUAACUUAUUACUAAUUCUUUUGUUGAUAUAUCCAUCCACUUUCUGGGAGCAGUGGAAAUCCUGCAGCCACAUAUGUUAGAGUAAUAUGAACCAUUUUGAACCUUGAUUUUGUCCCCAGCUUGCAUCAAAUGGCAUUACCUCCCAGAUGCGUGUGAGAGGGGGUGUUUUACUUGAACUGUUUGAAUUUGUGGUGUUAUUAUACAGAUUAGGUUGGAUUGUUUUGUUGCUCUUAAGAUGAAAUUUUAUCUAAUUCCCUUUCCUUUAUUGUAAGAGUUCACAGUUGCAGCAGUACUAAAUAAACUACUAAGUAAAUGUAUUUUCUUCUCGUGUUAAUCUUUCUCUGAAAUUGAUCAGCUUCAAUUUGAAGCUCUUGUCACUCUGUUCUGUUCUCCGCAGUUCUGUUCUCGAAUCCCCUCCCUGUUAACAUGAAAUUUCAGCAACACUAAUUAGUCAUCUUGCCAGGUAAUCAUGAUGAUUGAGAAAGAAAAUGGUACCAAGAGUAUGUAGUGUAGUAACAUUCAGAAAAAUGUACGUUUCUAUCUCUUUCAGGUCCGUGCUAGCUAUUUCUUUGAACGACAUUCAGACAAUAUGUGCAAAAGGAUGAGGCCAAUACGGACUAGUUUUCUCUUUUGUAGGUUAAAAAAGGUCUUAUGUGGGAUACAAACCGAAGCUUGAUUGCGUACACUCUGGUGCUUCAGUUAAAGAUGGAAAGCUAUAAUGUACUCUGGUGCUCCAGUUAAAGAUGGAAAGCUAUAAUGUACUCUGGUGCUCCCGUUAAAAAUGGAAAGCUAUAAUGUAUUGAAAAAAGUGUGCAAAGUGGAAGUUGAUACUAAAGCAAAUUGCUCUCUUUUUUAUCUGCAAACAAGUUUCAGUCAUGAUAUGUGCCAUUCAAGUGGAAAUACAAAUUAGGACGUCUAAUAUUUUCUUCUUUCCGUUGCAACGCACGGGCUCUUUUGCUAGUAUGAAUCUAAAAGAAUAACAAUGUUUCGUAUGGUACAUCGCAACAUGCUCCCUCAGAGAGGCAAUAAAUCAUAUGUAGCCAUUAUUUACAUAUAUAAAGAAAUGGAGGGAGUACAACAUUAAUGUAGUUACCAAAAAGACAAAUGAAAUUGUGAAGUCUACAUGUGCACCUAGGCAUGCAAACCAUGUUAUAAAAGGUACGUAGGUGCAGCAGGAUAAAGGAAACACGACACUAUACCACCUGCAGCUGUUGCAAAAUUGAAGAGCGGAAGAGAAAGACAGACAAAGAAGGUUGAUUACCAUGUUUCUGAUCUCGCCUUUGAAUAGGAUGAAAGCCCAAUAGUAUCUCCCCGUGCGAUUGGGAGACGUGGGGAACUUGUUGCAUGCCUCUUUGGUGAGACACGGGAUCAUUAGCCAUCGUAGUUCUAUUCUAGGCUGAAGGUAGCCUGUAACUCGAUCCGGCCACCGAUGUAGUCUGAAGAAUUUUUACUGCAAGACAUUUUAAGUUAUUAUUCGAGAAACACGCUACAUUCACGGAUACUCAUGCACGUACAUACAUAUACCCUUGUGAGAUACACAAAUAUUCAUACAUAUACCCUUGUGAGAUGCACAAAUAUUUCUUUUUAUAACAGUAUCACUAACUUCAGAGAUAGAUGCCGUAGGUGCCUUGCUCUCGAUCACCGUGUCAAAAUGUGUCCCGACCCUAUCCGCUGCCGUCGGUGCUGGGGCUGGGGACACACCAAACAUACCUGCAAG